rnacentral:rRNA from 1 species
CCUANGGGGGGCUGCAGUAAGGAAUAUUGGUCAAUGGGCGCAAGCCUGAACCAGCCAUGCCGCGUGCAGGAUGACGGCCCUAUGGGUUGUAAACUGCUUUUGUACGGGAAAAAACCCCUUUACGUGUAAAGGGCUGAUGGUACCGUAAGAAUAAGGAUCGGCUAACUCCGUGCCAGCAGCCGCGGUAAUACGGAGGAUCCAAGCGUUAUCCGGAUUUAUUGGGUUUAAAGGGUGCGCAGGCGGAAUAAUAAGUCAGUGGUGAAAUCCUGCAGCUUAACUGCAGAACUGCCAUUGAUACUGUUAUUCUUGAGUAUAGUUGAAGUGGGCGGAAUGUGUCAUGUAGCGGUGAAAUGCUUAGAUAUGACACAGAACACCAAUUGCGAAGGCAGCUCACUAAGCUAUAACUGACGCUCAUGCACGAAAGCGUGGGGAUCAAACAGGAUUAGAUACCCUUNUAGUC